GUCUCCUGGUGUGAGGGAGCUCUAUGUUGGCCAGGUAGGGUAACCAUUGCUUGAUAGUGCUCAAGACUAUUUCUGAUAUUGUGCAAAUAUCCUAUUUUAGUUGGAUAUCUACCAAUUCUGUUUGGGCGCUUCCCGCUCAUACUGAGGCGUAGUAUUCUGUUGUCGAGUAGACCAGGGCUCAGGAAGAGGUCCGUAGGACGCUAGUGGCAGCUUCCUAUGUGGUGCCACCUAAUUUGUUGAUGAGGCCGAUUCUAGUUUAAAGUUUUGCUGACACCUUAUGCAGGUGUGCCUUGAAAAAUAAAGUCCGAUCUAGUGUGAUACCAAGGUACACACGGAUGACUUUUCUUUUUUGGUUUUUCACCACAAAAAUAAACUGAUAUUUCCUUAUUCGCUUUCUUGUAUUUAGGUGAAAUGUUGUUGUCAUGGUUUUGGAUGGGUUUGGUCUAAGCCUCCAUUCCUGGAAAAGUUGUUCCAACUUUAAUAGAUCCGAUGUCAGGGUACUUUCAAUAUUUUCUAGCAUCUUAUCCUGCGCUACUAUGCAGAUGUCGUUUGCACGAGAGAACAUUUUCGAUUCUGUAUUUGGUAUAUCGUAGGUGUAUACGUUAAAAGGAUUGAGGCUAAGACAGAGGUAAGUCAUUAUUUAGUAUUCGUAUUUUGUUUUUCCGGUUGCCGAGGUAAACUUGGAAAUUCC